rnacentral:rRNA from 1 species
UACGUAGGGUGCGAGCGUUGUCCGGAAUUACUGGGCGUAAAGAGCUCGUAGGUGGUUUGUCGCGUUGUUCGUGAAAACCGGGGGCUUAACCCUCGGCGUGCGGGCGAUACGGGCAGACUUGAGUACUGCAGGGGAGACUGGAAUUCCUGGUGUAGCGGUGGAAUGCGUAGAUAUCGGGAGGAACACCAGUGGCGCAGGCGGCGUCCUGGACCGGCACUGACGCUGAGGAGCGAAAGCGUGGGGAGCGAUCCGG